rnacentral:rRNA from 1 species
UACGAAGGGGGCUAGCGUUGUUCGGAAUUACUGGGCGUAAAGCGCACGUAGGCGGACAUUUAAGUCAGGGGUGAAAUCCCAGAGCUCAACUCUGGAACUGCCUUUGAUACUGGGUGUCUUGAGUAUGGAAGAGGUGAGUGGAAUUCCGAGUGUAGAGGUGAAAUUCGUAGAUAUUCGGAGGAACACCAGUGGCGAAGGCGGCUCACUGGCCCGAUACUGACGCUGAGGUGCGAAAGCGUGGGGAGCAAACAGG